rnacentral:rRNA from 1 species
GACGAACGCUGGCGGCGUGCUUAACACAUGCAAGUCGAACGGGUCUGCCCUGUUUUUUGCGGGGUGGGUCAGUGGCGAACGGGUGAGUAACACGUGAGUAACCUGCCCCUCACUUCUGGAUAACCGCUCGAAAGGGUGGCUAAUACGGGGUGUUCUGGCUGUGCCGCAUGGUGUGGCUGGGAAAGAUUCACUUUUGUGGUGUUUUGGUGGGGGAUGGGCUCGCGGCCUAUCAGCUUGUUGGUGGGGUGAUGGCCUGCCAAGGCUUUGACGGGUAGCCGGCCUGAGAGGGUGGGCGGUCACACUGGGACUGAGAUACGGCCCAGACUCCUGCGGGAGGCAGCAGUGGGGGGUAUUGCACAAUGGGCGGAAGCCUGAUGCAGCGACGUCGCGUGAGGGAUGGAGGCCUGCGGGUUGUGAACCUCUUUCGCCGGUGAAGAAGGUCCUGCUCUUUGUGGUGGGGUUGACGGUAGCCGGGUUAUGAAGCGCCGGCUAACUACGUG